AUUUGAGGAAAAUGGUUACUUGGUUAGAAUAGAUUUAAAUCCUACAGUUCCUCAUUGUUCACUUGCCAGCCUUAUUGGCCUCUGCCUGAGAGGCAAGAUUCAGAAAAAUGUGGUGGAAAGGAUCAAAUUGGACAUAGUUAUUGCAGAGGGUAAACACAGCACAGAAGAAGAGAGAAAGACUAAGAGUCGCCGCCGCCUAAGAGAAUCUUAACUUAAAAGAAAUGUUCAAUAGUUGCAUAAGAGAUAAAGAAUAAGAAUUUUUUUGAGAAGAAAAAAAAAUAAAAGACAAUAAAUUUCGUCAGAGUAUUUUGUAUUCCAUUCCAUGAGAUCAACUCACAAGUAUGAAAGGCACUGCAGAGACAAUUUCAUCGCACAUAUCGAUUGAUUUUAGUAGAAGACUAGAACAAUUACCAAAAAGCUCCCUGGUAUAUUUAUAAAUUUUGCAAGUGUUAUCU